rnacentral:rRNA from 1 species
UACGGAGGGUGCAAGCGUUAUCCGGAUUCACUGGGUUUAAAGGGUGCGUAGGUGGGCAGGUAAGUCAGUGGUGAAAUCUUCGGGCUUAACCCGGAAACUGCCGUUGAUACUAUCUGUCUUGAAUGUAGUGGAGGUGAGCGGAAUAUGUCAUGUAGCGGUGAAAUGCUUAGAUAUGACAUAGAACAUCGAUUGCGAAGGCAGCUCGCUACACUAUGAUUGACACUGAGGCACGAAAGCGUGGGGAUCAAACAGG